UACGAAGGGUCCAAGCGUUGUUCGGAAUUACUGGGCGUAAAGCGCGCGUAGGCGGGUUCGUAAGUCGAUUGUGAAAGCCCUGGGCUUAACCCGGGAAUGGCAGUCGAAACUGCGAAUCUUGAAUGUCUGAGAGGAUGGCGGAAUUCCCGGUGUAGUAGUGAAAUACGUAGAUAUCGGGAAGAACACCUGAGGCGAAGGCGGCUAUCUGGCGGUACAUUGACGCUGAGGCGCGAAAGCGUGGGGAGCAAACAGG
rnacentral:rRNA from 1 species